CCAUGUCUUACACUUACCGCCAUAUCCUUAAUACUCAGGAGAGCACCUAGCAUAUUGUAGUUAAUCAACGAACAAAUGAAUGGCCAGCCACAACAUGUGGGCCCUGCACAUGAGGCAGGGAUCUGUCAGAGCUGUAAACCAAAUUGAACCAGCAUUCAAUUUCCUCUUUCACAUCCAUCCAUCCUGUGCUCCGCUACUUAGCUCUGCAUGGCCAUCUAGCCAACCACCCGGAAGGAGGACCAGAGACUUGCUAGAGUCAUUCCAUGUACUUUCCCAAGACACGCAUUGCUAAUGCCUGGUAGAAUAAAGGGUCCUGCAGACAAGCAGGCCCCAGCCCAUCCUGCCCUUCCUUGGAAGAUCUUCAGAUUGCGCUGUUAUCCCUAGAGUAACUUGUUCCGUUGAUCAAAUUUUUGGAUCAAUAAGUGAUGUGAUGCUUUUGACUGGUUAGUCUAGAUCAAAAUCAUUCGGAGGUUGUUUUAUUCUCCGAGGUCACCCCAACCUAAAUUGCAGAGAUCGGUAGAGCA